UAGGGUGUGCCUCGCACUGGUUCGGCCGCCCCCGCCAUGGGCGGCCGUCGUAAGAGGGAAUCCGGUGGAAGGCCGGGACUGCCCCGCAGCGGUAAGUGGGCGCGACCACCGUCAGGUGCGCUGGGCGCGAGAAGCGCCUGGGAAACGCGACGGCCAGUAGGUCCGUCGGGCGUAGAGCGAUGCCGACGGGAGCCCGCGAGUCCGAAGACCUGCCAGUGUGCCGCGCGUGCCC
rnacentral:ncRNA from 1 species